UUACUUACCUGGGAAGGGCCACACCAUGAUCAAGAAGGUGGUUUGCCCAAAGUGAGGCCCAGCCAUUGCACUCAGACUGUGCUGACCUUUGUGAAUUCCUCAAAUGCAGGAUUCUCAACUGCAUAAUUUCUGAUAGUGAGGGACUGCAUUCACACUCUCUCC